ACCUGGCAUGGUGGCAUGUGCCUGUAGUCCCAGCUACUCGGGAGGCUGACGUGGGAGGAUCGCUUGAGUCCAAGAGUUCUGGGCUGUAGUGCGCUAUGCCAAUCAGGUGUCUGCAUUAAGUUUAGCAUCAAUAUGGUGACCUCUCGGGAGCAGGGGACCACCAGGUUGCCUAACGAGGGGUGAAUCGGCCCAGGUCAGAAAUGGAGCAGGUCAAAACUCCCAUGCUGAUCAGUAAUGGGAUCGCGCCUGUGACUAGCCACUGCACUCCAGCCUGGGCAACAUAGUGAGACCCCAUUCCU
rnacentral:SRP_RNA from 1 species